UUUAACUGAAGAGUUUGAUCAUGGCUCAGAUUGAACGCUGGCGGCAGGCUUAACACAUGCAAGUCGAGCGGGGGAAGGUAGCUUGCUACUGGACCUAGCGGCGGACGGGUGAGUAAUGCUUAGGAAUCUGCCUAUUAGUGGGGGACAACAUCUCGAAAGGGAUGCUAAUACCGCAUACGUCCUACGGGAGAAAGCAGGGGAUCUUCGGACCUUGCGCUAAUAGAUGAGCCUAAGUCGGAUUAGCUAGUUGGUGGGGUAAAGGCCUACCAAGGCGACGAUCUGUAGCGGGUCUGAGAGGAUGAUCCGCCACACUGGGACUGAGACACGGCCCAGACUCCUACGGGAGGCAGCAGUGGGGAAUAUUGGACAAUGGGGGGAACCCUGAUCCAGCCAUGCCGCGUGUGUGAAGAAGGCCUUAUGGUUGUAAAGCACUUUAAGCGAGGAGGAGGCUACUUUAGUUAAUACCUAGAGAUAGUGGACGUUACUCGCAGAAUAAGCACCGGCUAACUCUGUGCCAGCAGCCGCGGUAAUACAGAGGGUGCGAGCGUUAAUCGGAUUUACUGGGCGUAAAGCGUGCGUAGGCGGCUUAUUAAGUCGGAUGUGAAAUCCCCGAGCUUAACUUGGGAAUUGCAUUCGAUACUGGUGAGCUAGAGUAUGGGAGAGGAUGGUAGAAUUCCAGGUGUAGCGGUGAAAUGCGUAGAGAUCUGGAGGAAUACCGAUGGCGAAGGCAGCCAUCUGGCCUAAUACUGACGCUGAGGUACGAAAGCAUGGGGAGCAAACAGGAUUAGAUACCCUGGUAGUCCAUGCCGUAAACGAUGUCUACUAGCCGUUGGGGCCUUUGAGGCUUUAGUGGCGCAGCUAACGCGAUAAGUAGACCGCCUGGGGAGUACGGUCGCAAGACUAAAACUCAAAUGAAUUGACGGGGGCCCGCACAAGCGGUGGAGCAUGUGGUUUAAUUCGAUGCAACGCGAAGAACCUUACCUGGCCUUGACAUACUAGAAACUUUCCAGAGAUGGAUUGGUGCCUUCGGGAAUCUAGAUACAGGUGCUGCAUGGCUGUCGUCAGCUCGUGUCGUGAGAUGUUGGGUUAAGUCCCGCAACGAGCGCAACCCUUUUCCUUACUUGCCAGCAUUUCGGAUGGGAACUUUAAGGAUACUGCCAGUGACAAACUGGAGGAAGGCGGGGACGACGUCAAGUCAUCAUGGCCCUUACGGCCAGGGCUACACACGUGCUACAAUGGUCGGUACAAAGGGUUGCUACACAGCGAUGUGAUGCUAAUCUCAAAAAGCCGAUCGUAGUCCGGAUUGGAGUCUGCAACUCGACUCCAUGAAGUCNUGUACACACCGCCCGUCACACCAUGGGAGUUUGUUGCACCAGAAGUAGCUAGCCUAACUGCAAAGAGGGCGGUUACCACGGUGUGGCCGAUGACUGGGGUGAAGUCGUAACAAGGUAGCCGUAGGGGAACCUGCGGCUGGAUCACCUCCUUAA
rnacentral:rRNA from 1 species